UACGUAGGGUGCGAGCGUUGUCCGGAAUUAUUGGGCGUAAAGAGCUCGUAGGCGGCCUGUCGCGUCGGUUGUGAAAGCCCGGGGCUUAACCCCGGGUCUGCAUUCGAUACGGGCUGGCUAGAGUGUGGUAGGGGAGAUCGGAAUUCCUGGUGUAGCGGUGAAAUGCGCAGAUAUCAGGAGGAACACCGGUGGCGAAGGCGGAUCUCUGGGCCAUUACUGACACUCAGGGACGAAAGCUAGGGGAGCGAAUGGG
rnacentral:rRNA from 1 species